GAUAGCUUUAGUCUGUGUCAGUGUAUAUUGAAGUAAUGUUGCUUUGGGAAGUUUUAAUCUUCCACUGGGCAUGAAAAUACUUACUAUUGGCAUCACAGUUGCAAUCCAACAUGCUUUGGAUUUCUGUCUCAUAACUUGUUCCUCCACAGCACUCAAUUUCUCAAUGUCUGCUAAGACAGCUUUCUCUUCAUCAAAUAGCACCUGUG
rnacentral:lncRNA from 1 species